GUCAUCUCAGCAAAUGUGCAGCCCAAAAUACACCAGUAGUGAUCUAUUCUUAAAGACCAAAGAACCAGACCCUUUUUCUUCCUCCUUUCUUGCUGCUACCCCUCAACUAUUUCAUUGCUUGUCAAUGCCCAGCAAGGACAGAGUAACAGCAGCCCUCCCACCUGUGGAUUCCUUACUGAUUAAAAUUAAAAUCUGGUUACAAAACAAGGGACCUAGAGAGAUGUUCACUACUUCUCUACACAGAUGGCUCCUACUGCUUCCAAUUUUUCUCCUUUAAGCCAGGGUGAAUCCAAAUCAUGGUCUCAGCCCUGAAGGAGGCACUGAAGCAGUUUCGUCGCCCUGUAAAGGCCUCUAGAGGAGCUCAUCUGAAUGCUUGAAGACACCAGGCUUCUUUGCAAUUCUCUAAAAGACAUUGAGUCAUGUUAACAAGACAUUCUUUCUGCCAUCCACAGUCACAAUCAAAUUUUUGAAAAAUAAAUACUGGUGGGUUUUUUUU